rnacentral:misc_RNA from 1 species
UUUCCGUAGGUGAACCUGCGGAAGGAUCAUUGUCGAAGCCUGCCCAGCAGAACGACCCGCGAACUUGUAUAAACACCCGGGGGCAGGGGCGAUCUCGCCCCGUGCCCUCGAACGGCAGGGAGCCACUCGUGCCUUCCUGUCGAACAACGAACCCCGGCGCGGUCCGCGCCAAGGAACUUCAAUUAAAGAGUGCCUCCGGUCGCCUCGGAAACGAUGCGAGUGUCGGAGGCGAAUCUUGUACAAAACCAUAACGACUCUCGGCAACGGAUAUCUCGGCUCUC